AGAGGCUUAGGCUAGAAAUUAAACCAAGGGCCUUCAAAGCCCUAAUCGGGAGUGAAAACCUCCCAGCCCCUG
rnacentral:tRNA from 1 species